GCCCCAUUGUGCCCCAGGAAUCUGUACCUUUUGAGUCCUGGCUUGGAAUUGGUCCGGAAUUCGACCAAUUCCGUGGUGGGGGAGGGACAAUACCCAUGGCCCCUCCUUAGCCCAGAAUUGGUCCAUCUCUUUAGCAAUCACGCACAGUAAAGUAGGGAGCAUCAUUCCUCACCCAGCCUAGGAUUAGUCCAAUUCAAGACCAAUCCCAACCAGGAAAGAUGGGGGAGGGACCCCUGGAGCACACUGGGAAAUGCAGUUCCUCAGGCCACAAUCUAAGAAGAGCAAAGCUAUAUCUAGCUCUAUACCCAUGUAGACUGAGUGAUGGACAAGGGGACAGACAGACAGGAGGACUGAAAGACAGAGACUUUCGUUUUUCUGCUUUUCUGUCUUACUGCCUUCCUAUCUAUGGAUCUGUCAGUCAAUGUGUCUGUUUGCCCAUCAGUCCUCUCUGGGUUUCUAUCUCUACAUAGGUGUCCACUCUAGAAAAUCAGGAUAAGUGGUUGCAGGCAAGCAAAGCAGGUGAUGGUGUCCCAGUUGGGUUCAGAUGGCUCAGAAGAUGUAUUUGGUUCAAGAUUGGAGGGGGAGUGGCAGACCUCCACUUUAGCCAGUGAGGCUCCAUCAUUUCUUUCCUAACGUCUUCUGAUUCGACUUCGAGACAACCCAGCACUCUGGAAUCUUUGCUGUGACUUCUCCAAUGGACAGAUGUUCCGUUCCAUCCUCUUAACGAGGUGUCCACUCUAGAAAAUCAGGAUAACUGAUUCCAGACAAGCAAAGCAUGUGAUGGUGCCCCAGUUGGGUUCAGAUGGCUCAGAAGAUGUAUUUGGUUCAAGAUUGGAGGGGGAGUGGCAGACCUCCACUUUGGCCAGUGAGGCUCCAUCAUUUCUUUCCUAACGUCUUCUGAUUCGACUUUGAGACAACCCAGCACUCUGGAAUCUUUGCUGCGACUUCUCCAAUGGACAGAUGUUCCGUUCCAUCCUCUUAACGAGGCUUCAUGAUUUCUUUCCUAACGUCUUCUGAUUCGACUUUGAGACAACCCAGCACUCUGGAAUCUUUGCUGCAACUUCUCCAAUGGACAGAUGUUCCUUUCCAUCCUCUUAACAAGGCUCCAUCAUUUCUUUCCUAACAUCUUCUGAUUCGACUUUGAGACAACCCAGCACUCUGGAAUCUUUGCUGUGACUUCUCCAAUGGACAGAUGUUCUGUUCCAUCCUCCUAAUGAGGUUUCCAUGCAAAAAUAUCGGAAUAAGUGGUUGUUGGCAAGCAAACCAUGUGAUGGUGUCCCUGUGAUGUUCAGGUGGCUCAGAAGAUGUAUUUGGUUCAAGAUUGGAGGGGGAGUGGCAGACCUCUACUUUGGCCAGUGAGGUGAGUGGCUGUUGCAGUUGAGCUGUUCCUCAGCUGCAGCCCCACCUUUCACUGCUUCUACUCACUCUUCUUUACCCUUUGAAUCAGAUGGCCAAAGAGAAACACCCCUUCCAUUAUGCUGCAGAUGCCAAGAACCAGCCCCAUGGCCUGGGCGCAAACCUCCUGCCCAAACCCCUUGUUUCUGGGUCCUUUCCUCAGUGCUGUCAAAUGAUAGCUAAUCCGCAGCAUGAAGGCAUGCUGUCUUGCUGUCCUUCCAAGGAGCAGCCUUUGCACCCAUGUUGUUCCACCUCGGCUGCCUCCUGACCACAUUCAACAUGACUUUCCAAAUCAAUAAAAUGUCUCUUUUUCUUUUGAA